rnacentral:rRNA from 1 species
AAAGCAAGUAUGCUUAGUAAGUCUUGGUAGAUUUGGUCUUGGUCUCCGUUCUUAGCUUUAGCAAUGGUAAAACACAUGGUAUUUUAUGAAUUCUGGUAAGUGAGGUAGAGAACUAGAUUCUAGUUAAACACUUGAAAAUUAGUUUUUUACUAUAAACAUAAUUUUUUGGAUAUUACGUUGAAAGUUAUUUACUAAUAGUUUACACCAGUGUUGGAGAUUGAACAAUAAAUUUUAGUUUGAUUCAGCAAGUAGCUAGUUAAGGUCUGGUAAAGUUUGUGCCAGCCACCGCGGUUAGACAAACAGGUUAAGUUAAGAUUGAUAAAGUAAAAAAGAAGGUUAAAGAAGAAUAAUUUUGUAGCUUAAGGGAAAAUUAUGUUUUUUGUGGGGGUGGAAUCUGUGCAAAAAAAAAUAAUUUGUUAUUUCCUUGUUCUUGAGUCCUUGAAAUCUCAUUAAAAGACCGGGAUUAGAUACCCCGUUAUUUGAGAUCUAAAAUUUGAUUUUGAUAAUUUACUUGAGUAUUACGAGUUGUGUGAGUAUAACUCAUUUCUAAAGGUCUUAAAACUCAAAAGACUUGGCGGUGUCUUAAGUCCUUCUAGGGGAACCUGUCCUAUAAUCGAUAGUCCACGAUUUAUCUUUCCUUUUCUUGAAAUAUUCAGCUUGUAUACCGUCGUCGUCAGAUUACCUUUAAGAGUUAAAUAAGUUAUCAGAAAGAAGCUUACAAAUUAAUUUUUAUCUUAAUUCUAGAAAAUAGAAUAUGGGUGAGCACUAUUAAUAAAGUAAUUUUCUUGAUGUCAGAUCAAGGUGCAGCUAAUGAAAAGGUAGAGAUGGGUUACAAUAAUAAUUUAUUAUUACGAAUUUCUUAUUGCAAACUAUAAGAAUUGAAGGCGGACUUAGAAGUAAUUAAUUAAAAAUAGAAAGUUUUGGUGAAAAUGGCACUAAGAUGUGCACACAUCGCCCGUCGCUCUCGUUGAAAAAUGAGAUAAGUCGUAACAUAGUUAGGGUACCGGAAGGUGUUCUUAAUGAAAAAUAGAACGAAGCAAUUAUGUAAAUUGUGAAUUAAAAAC